UCGAUUCCCUUAGUAGCGGCGAGCGAAACGGGAAGAGCCCAAACCAACAAGCUUGCUUGUUGGGGUUGUAGGACACUCUAUACGGAGUUACAAAGGACGACAUUAGACGAAUCAUCUGGAAAGAUGAAUCAAAGAAGGUAAUAAUCCUGUAGUCGAAAAUGUUGUCUCUCUUGAGUGGAUCCUGAGUACGACGGAGCACGUGAAAUUCCGUCGGAAUCUGGGAGGACCAUCUCCUAAGGCUAAAUACUCUCUAGUGACCGAUAGUGAACCAGUACCGUGAGGGAAAGGUGAAAAGCACCCCGGAAGGGGAGUGAAAUAGAACCUGAAACCGUGUGCUUACAAGUAGUCAGAGCCCGUUAAUGGGUGAUGGCGUGCCUUUUGUAGAAUGAACCGGCGAGUUACGAUUUGAUGCAAGGUUAAGCAGUAAAUGUGGAGCCGUAGCGAAAGCGAGUCUGAAUAGGGCGUUUAGUAUUUGGUCGUAGACCCGAAACCAGGUGAUCUACCCUUGGUCAGGUUGAAGUUCAGGUAACACUGAAUGGAGGACCGAACCGACUUACGUUGAAAAGUGAGCGGAUGAACUGAGGGUAGCGGAGAAAUUCCAAUCGAACCUGGAGAUAGCUGGUUCUCUCCGAAAUAGCUUUAGGGCUAGCCUCAAGUGAUGAUUAUUGGAGGUAGAGCACUGUUUGGACGAGGGGCCCCUCUCGGGUUACCGAAUUCAGACAAACUCCGAAUGCCAAUUAAUUUAACUUGGGAGUCAGAACAUGGGUGAUAAGGUCCGUGUUCGAAAGGGAAACAGCCCAGACCACCAGCUAAGGUCCCAAAAUAUAUGUUAAGUGGAAAAGGAUGUGGCGUUGCCCAGACAACUAGGAUGUUGGCUUAGAAGCAGCCAUCAUUUAAAGAGUGCGUAAUAGCUCACUAGUCGAGUGACACUGCGCCGAAAAUGUACCGGGGCUAAACAUAUUACCGAAGCUGUGGAUUGUCCUUUGGACAAUGGUAGGAGAGCGUUCUAAGGGCGUUGAAGCAUGAUCGUAAGGACAUGUGGAGCGCUUAGAAGUGAGAAUGCCGGUGUGAGUAGCGAAAGACGGGUGAGAAUCCCGUCCACCGAUUGACUAAGGUUUCCAGAGGAAGGCUCGUCCGCUCUGGGUUAGUCGGGUCCUAAGCUGAGGCCGACAGGCGUAGGCGAUGGAUAACAGGUUGAUAUUCCUGUACCACCUAUAAUCGUUUUAAUCGAUGGGGGGACGCAGUAGGAUAGGCGAAGCGUGCGAUUGGAUUGCACGUCUAAGCAGUAAGGCUGAGUAUUAGGCAAAUCCGGUACUCGUUAAGGCUGAGCUGUGAUGGGGAGAAGACAUUGUGUCUUCGAGUCGUUGAUUUCACACUGCCGAGAAAAGCCUCUAGAUAGAAAAUAGGUGCCCGUACCGCAAACCGACACAGGUAGUCAAGAUGAGAAUUCUAAGGUGAGCGAGCGAACUCUCGUUAAGGAACUCGGCAAAAUGACCCCGUAACUUCGGGAGAAGGGGUGCUCUUUAGGGUUAACGCCCAGAAGAGCCGCAGUGAAUAGGCCCAAGCGACUGUUUAUCAAAAACACAGGUCUCUGCUAAACCGUAAGGUGAUGUAUAGGGGCUGACGCCUGCCCGGUGCUGGAAGGUUAAGAGGAGUGGUUAGCUUCUGCGAAGCUACGAAUCGAAGCCCCAGUAAACGNGGUUACCGAAUUCAGACAAACUCCGAAUGCCAAUUAAUUUAACUUGGGAGUCAGAACAUGGGUGAUAAGGUCCGUGUUCGAAAGGGAAACAGCCCAGACCACCAGCUAAGGUCCCAAAAUAUAUGUUAAGUGGAAAAGGAUGUGGCGUUGCCCAGACAACUAGGAUGUUGGCUUAGAAGCAGCCAUCAUUUAAAGAGUGCGUAAUAGCUCACUAGUCGAGUGACACUGCGCCGAAAAUGUACCGGGGCUAAACAUAUUACCGAAGCUGUGGAUUGUCCUUUGGACAAUGGUAGGAGAGCGUUCUAAGGGCGUUGAAGCAUGAUCGUAAGGACAUGUGGAGCGCUUAGAAGUGAGAAUGCCGGUGUGAGUAGCGAAAGACGGGUGAGAAUCCCGUCCACCGAUUGACUAAGGUUUCCAGAGGAAGGCUCGUCCGCUCUGGGUUAGUCGGGUCCUAAGCUGAGGCCGACAGGCGUAGGCGAUGGAUAACAGGUUGAUAUUCCUGCACCACCUAUAAUCGUUUUAAUCGAUGGGGGGACGCAGUAGGAUAGGCGAAGCGUACGAUUGGAUUGCACGUCUAAGCAGUAAGGCUGAGUAUUAGGCAAAUCCGGUACUCGUUAAGGCUGAGCUGUGAUGGGGAGAAGACAUUGUGUCUUCGAGUCGUUGAUUUCACACUGCCGAGAAAAGCCUCUAGAUAGAAAAUAGGUGCCCGUACCGCAAACCGACACAGGUAGUCAAGAUGAGAAUUCUAAGGUGAGCGAGCGAACUCUCGUUAAGGAACUCGGCAAAAUGACCCC
rnacentral:rRNA from 1 species